GCCAUCAAUAGAUGGCGCUACGAGUUAAAAUUUAGCUUUGUAAUCUUAUUUCUGCAAAAAUUCACGAAGUAAUUGAUUUUGAUAUCAGUUAUAAAUCAUAUUUUUUUCUAAAUAAUAUUUAGAAGCGUUUCAUAUAUUCCUUUAUACACAGUUUUCACUAAACAGUGUCAGCUGUCAGCGGAAUGACGUUUACGGCAACCCUAUUGCAUUGCUAUUCCGCACUCGUUUUGUUUACAUUUAUUUGUACUGUGGUCAGUUAGCAAAAAAAUAUGCGAAAAUAUCAAGGACGACAGAAAAAAUCCAGAAUUCAGCGAAAACGUCGAGCUCAAGAAAAAAAUAUGAAAUUAAAUUCCCGAGAUGUGGAAGAUUCCGAACAAGCGGAUGUUUUCGAAAGGUGAGAAAUAAUUUAUUCUUUAUAUCGACUACCUCGCGUUUAUGAUUUCGUAGUAAGUUAAUUCCGAAGUAAAAUAUGCGUAUUUUUUUUUAUUGAAGGUCAGAAAUUAUUGAUACAACUGCAUCUGUGUCAAAGGAGAAUCAUUGCCCGGAUGAUUUUUUUUUACAAAGUCUGGAAGUGAAAAAUUUGACUUUUCUACGCCAGAAGUUACAGCUAAUGUUCCUAAGACAAACCAGGCUUUCUUGAGUUCUGAUCUGGACAUUUCAGUUAUUGACUCUGACGUAGAAGGUAGAAAUACAAGCUCUCUCUUUUGGAGGUAAAU